rnacentral:tRNA from 1 species
UCCCUGGUAGUCCAAUGAUUAAGACUCUGCACUUCAAAUACAUCGAGUGCAGGUUUGAUCCCUGCCUGGGGAA